CCUACGGGCGGCAGCAGUGGGGAAUAUUGCACAAUGGGGGAAACCCUGAUGCAGCGACGCCGCGUGAGCGAAGAAGUAUUUCGGUACGUAAAGCUCUAUCAGCAGGGAAGAAAAUGACGGUACCUGACUAAGAAGCCCCGGCUAACUACGUGCCAGCAGCCGCGGUAAUACGUAGGGGGCAAGCGUUAUCCGGAUUUACUGGGUGUAAAGGGAGCGCAGACGGCAGGGCAAGUCUGGAGUGAAAACCCAGGGCUUAACCCUGGAACUGCUUUGGAAACUGGGCAGCUAGAGUGCAGGAGAGGUAAGCGGAAUUCCUAGUGUAGCGGUGAAAUGCGUAGAUAUUAGGAGGAACACCGGUGGCGAAGGCGGCUUACUGGACUGUGACUGACGUUGAGGCUCGAAAGCGUGGGGAGCAAACAGGAUUAGAUACCCGGGUAGUC
rnacentral:rRNA from 1 species